rnacentral:lncRNA from 1 species
UCCGCUUUUUCAGCAAACUGACCAAAAUACCCUUAUUACUUUUUCUCUUUCCUCUUUCUCUCUCUUCUUCGUUUCUCUUGUUCUUUUUUUUUUCUCGCCGGUAGAGCGGAGGCGGAGCGGAGGCAGAAACGGUCCGUCUCGCCUCUCACCCUCAUACUCUCGCCCUCGCCCUUGCCCUCGUCCAUGCACCCCCCACAUUCCUCGCCUCCGACCUUGCCAAGGCCGCGCCACGACUUUUUUUUUUGCUUUUUUCUUUUCUUUUCUUCUCCGACUCUUCUCCACCGUCUCCGACGACGACGCCUCUCGCCCUUCCCCGCCCUUCUCAUCUCUCCCUCUCCCUCAUUUUCUGCCGCCUCCGACGACGAUUUAUCUUCGCCGGCGCCGACGUCGACACCGUAGAGGUCACUGCGGCGCUACAGCCUCGGAGCGGGGGGUCCUUAGCGGCGUCGUCACCGGCGCCGUAGCUGUUGGCAGAGAAGGUGACAAAAAAAUUAUAGAAAAAAAAAAAAAAAAAAUAAAGAUAAAAAAUUAUA